CCUACGGGAGGCAGCAGUGAGGAAUAUUGGUCAAUGGACGAGAGUCUGAACCAGCCAAGUAGCGUGAAGGAUGACUGCCCUAUGGGUUGUAAACUUCUUUUAUAUGGGAAUAAAAUGUUCCACGUGUGGGAUUUUGUAUGUACCAUAUGAAUAAGGAUCGGCUAACUCCGUGCCAGCAGCCGCGGUAAUACGGAGGAUCCGAGCGUUAUCCGGAUUUAUUGGGUUUAAAGGGAGCGUAGGUGGAUUGUUAAGUCAGUUGUGAAAGUUUGCGGCUCAACCGUAAAAUUGCAGUUGAAACUGGCAGUCUUGAGUACAGUAGAGGUGGGCGGAAUUCGUGGUGUAGCGGUGAAAUGCUUAGAUAUCACGAAGAACUCCGAUUGCGAAGGCAGUUCACUGGACUGCAACUGACACUGAGGCUCGAAAGUGUGGGUAUCAAACAGGAUUAGAUACUCCUGUAGUC
rnacentral:rRNA from 1 species